UUUUAUUGGGGGUUUUUAAGUUUUAACCUGUCAGAUUAGAUGAUUUAUAACCCUUUAAUAAGGGGUUUUAAGAUUACUUAAUACUAGCUUAUCCGUAAACCAGAAGCUUAAUUGUGUAAAUCCACAUGUGUAUGCAUUUUCUCAUGGUAUCCAAGUAUACUACAAUGGUUGGUACAA